rnacentral:rRNA from 1 species
CGACCGGCGCACGGGUGAGUAACACGUAUCCAACCUGCCGAUAACUCGGGGAUAGCCCUUCGAAAGAAAGAUUAAUAUCCGAUAGCAUAUCAAGAUCGCAUGAUCUUGAUAUUAAAGAAUUUCGGUUAUCGAUGGGGAUGCGUUCCAUUAGUUAGUUGGCGGGGUAACGGCCCACCAAGACGACGAUGGAUAGGGGUUCUGAGAGGAAGGUCCCCCACAUUGGAACUGAGACACGGUCCAAACUCCUACGGAAGGCAGCAG